GACGUAGGAGGCGAGCGUUGUCCGGAUUCAUUGGGCGUAAAGAGCACGCAGGCGGUUUGGCAAGUCGGGAUGUGAAAACCCGGAGCUCAACUCCGGACCUGCAUCCGAAACUGCCCGACUAGAGGUAGGUAGGGGAGAUCGGAAUUCCUGGUGUAGCGGUGAAAUGCGCAGAUAUCAGGAGAAACACCGGUGGCGAAGGCGGAUCUCUGGGGCCUUACCUGACGCUCAGGUGCGAAAAGCUAGGGGGAGCGAACAGG
rnacentral:rRNA from 1 species